GAUGAAGAACGUAGCGAAAUGCGAUACUUGGUGUGAAUUGCAGAAUCCCGUGAACCAUCGAGUCUUUGAACGCAAGUUGCGCCCGAAGCCAUCAGGUUGAGGGCACGUCUGCCUGGGCGUCACAUAUCGUUGCCCAAUGCCUAUUGCAGUGCAAUAGGAAUUUCUAGGGCGAAUGAUGGCUUCCCGUGAGCGUUGUUGCCUCGCGGUUGGUUGAAAAUCGAGUCCUUGGUAGGUUGUGCCAUGGUAGAUGGUGGUCGAGUUAGAACGAUACCGAUCAUGUGCAUGCUCCCCAAAAUAUGGCCUCUAUGACCCACACGCGUCUUUUGACGCUCAUGACGAGACCUCAGGUCAGGCGGGGCUACCCGCUGAAUUUAAGCAUAUCAAUAAGCGGAGGA
rnacentral:misc_RNA from 1 species